rnacentral:ncRNA from 1 species
ACGAACCUCUGGAGAGACUCAAUGUGAGCACCGAAGGGGCAAGUCUAUCCUACAAGGAUAGAUGAAACUCUCAGGUACAAAGGACAGAGAUGA